UACGGGGGGAGCAAGCGUUGUUCGGAUUUACUGGGCGUAAAGGGCGCGUAGGCGGCGCAACAAGUCACUUGUGAAAUCUCCGGGCUUAACCCGGAGCGGUCAAGUGAUACUGUCGUGCUAGAGUGCAGAAGGGGCAACUGGAAUUCUCGGUGUAGCGGUGAAAUGCGUAGAUAUCGAGAGGAACACCUGCGGCGAAGGCGGGUUGCUGGGCUGACACUGACGCUGAGGCGCGAAAGCUAGGGGAGCAAACGGG
rnacentral:rRNA from 1 species